rnacentral:misc_RNA from 1 species
GCUCAUCAGUGCUUAGUCAAUUAUUAUACAUUAGAUUAAGUUAUAGUCAGUAGACAAGAGAGUCCAAUCCCUCAAUAAAGAAAGUUUCUACAAUGGAUGCAACCACAAACCGGCCUAGUUGUAACCUUUACAUAUCCUCUCCAGCUCUCCUCAAAUCUUCUAUAAAGCUAUCAGCUGUUUGGCAGGAGGUUCAUUGAAUUGAGUUUACUAUCCUAUAAUUACUCUUACAAGUUAAUUAUCAGAUAUGGCAAACACAAGGCAAUUCAUUCAGUUGGCCUUAGUUUGCAUGAUUUACACAAUGUUGGCUUUGCCAGGCUUGUCUGAAGGGGCAGCACCUGAGCCAGCUCCUUCUCCCCACCUUUUACACUCACCUGGGUCGGCUCCAUCUCAAUCUCAUUCUGGUGGUAAUGGUGCUGCUGGUGACUGCUCUCCUCAUAUGUU